rnacentral:rRNA from 1 species
CAGUAGCCGCGGGAAUACAGAGGGUGCGAGCGUUAAUCGGAUUUACUGGGCGUAAAGCGUGCGUAGGCGGCUUCUUAAGUCGGAUGUGAAAUCCCUGAGCUUAACUUAGGAAUUGCAUUCGAUACUGGGAAGCUAGAGUAUGGGAGAGGAUGGUAGAAUUCCAGGUGUAGCGGUGAAAUGCGUAGAGAUCUGGAGGAAUACCGAUGGCGAAGGCAGCCAUCUGGCCUAACACUGACGCUGAGGUACGAAAGCAUGGGGAGCAAACAGGAUUAGAUACCCCUGUAGUCCCUGUCUCUUAUAC